ACGGGUGAGUAACACGUAGGUAACCUGCCUAUAAGAUCGGGAUAACUAUCGGAAACGAUAGCUAAGCCCGGAUAAUUGGUUUUCUCGCAUGAGAGAAUUAUGAAACACGGAGCAAUCUGUGGCUUAUAGAUGGGCCUGCGGCGCAUUAGCUAGUUGGUAGGGUAAUGGCCUACCAAGGCGACGAUGCGUAGCCGACCUGAGAGGGUGACCGGCCACACUGGGACUGAGACACGGCCCAGACUCCUACGGGAGGCAGCAGUAGGGAAUCUUCCGCAAUGGACGCAAGUCUGACGGAGCAACGCCGCGUGAGUGAUGAAGGUUUUCGGAUCGUAAAGCUCUGUUGCCCUAGACGAACAGCAAGGAGAGUAACUGCUCUUUGUGUGACGGUAUAGGAGAAGAAAGCCCCGGCUAACUACGUGCCAGCAGCCGCGGUAAUACGUAGGGGGCAAGCGUUGUCCGGAAUUAUUGGGCGUAAAGCGCGCGCAGGCGGUCAAUUAAGUUGGGUGUUUAAGCCCGGGGCUCAACCCCGGUUCGCAUCCAAAACUGGUUGACUUGAGUGUAGGAGAGGAAAGUGGAAUUCCACGUGUAGCGGUGA
rnacentral:rRNA from 1 species